rnacentral:rRNA from 1 species
UGAGGGAUAUUGCGCAAUGGGCGAAAGCCUGACGCAGCGACGCCGCGUGAGGGAAGAAGGCCUUCGGGUUGUAAACCUCUAUCGGGAGGAAAGAUAAUGACGGUACCUCCAAAUGAAGCUUCGGCUAACUACGUGCCAGCAGCCGCGGUAAAACGUAGGGAGCAAGCGUUGUCCGGAAUUACUGGGCGUAAAGAGCUCGUAGGCGGUUUUAUAAGUCAAGAAGCAAAUCUGUCGGCUCAACUGACAGUUCAUUUUUGAUACUGUAGGACUAGAGGUCAGAAGGGGAAAGCGGAAUUCCCGGUGUAGCGGUGAAAUGCGUAGAUAUCGGGAAGAACACCAGUGGCGAAGGCGGCUUUCUGGUCUGAAACUGACGCUGAGGAGCGAAAGCGUGGGGAGCAAACGGG